CUUGAAAAGUUGCCCGCUACCGGCUAGGCGCAACGAGUAGUUCUGUACGUUGUUCGGCUCUCUUCGGAGAUGGUCGCAGUCUCUUGGACGCAGAUCGCAGACAGCGUGACGAUGAACUCCUCCAGCCCCCGCCAAAUUCUCCUCUUCCUCUUCGCCUCUCUCCUCUCUUCGCUUCUCGGUGUCCUCAUUCUCUCCUCUUCGCUCUUCUCAUUGUCAGUCUCGUUUUAUCGCCACCGAGUUAACCGAGGCGUCGUCUUCGUCCUAUCUGCGGGGGGAAGAAGUGUUGCUAGCCUAUCUUCGAUUUUACAUUCAUUCAUUCGAUGAUCCCAGUCUUCUCUAUAGUACUAUUAUGCAUGAUGCAAAGUGACAUACACAGGUAUGUACUUGGCACAAUAAUUGAUUUCGAUCCGUUUUUCACCGAAGAAUUUCAUUUGACGGUUAUUUUUGAGGAA
rnacentral:misc_RNA from 1 species